AAGUCGUAACAAGGUUUCCGUAGGUGAACCUGCGGAAGGAUCAUUAUCAAACGUAUCCACGUUUAUAAACUAACCGUGAACUGUCACAAACUCACCUCUGGGCUAUGGCCGCUGUCUCUGACACUACGGGUUCAUUGUAUGGUUUUGGGCCCGUCAUUGACAAUUAAGGCUGUCUCUUCAGAGCGUAUUAACCAUACGUUAUCAAAAUUCAUUAACCACUUGAACAAAUAAUUCAUUGCAUUGUUGAGCUGAUUUGUUUCUUACUCGGGCGGGGUAACACCCCUCUGAGAAGAAAUUGAAUUACGAAACAAUAAAGAACAACUCUUAGCAACGGAUAUCUUGGUUCUCGUAACGAUGAAGGAACGCAGC
rnacentral:misc_RNA from 1 species